rnacentral:rRNA from 1 species
UACGUAGGGUCCGAGCGUUGUCCGGAGUUACUGGGCGUAAAGCGCGCGCAGGCGGCCCACGAGGUGUCACGUGAAAGCCCCGGGCUCAACUCGGGAGGGUCGUGGCAAACCGGUGGGCUUGAGGCCGGUAGAGGUGGGUGGAACUCCUGGUGGAGUGGUGAAAUGCGUAGAGAUCAGGAAGAACACCCGUGGCGAAGGCGGCCCACUGGGCCGGUACUGACGCUGAAGCGCGAAGGCGUGGGGAGCGAACGGG